rnacentral:rRNA from 1 species
AACGAACGCUGGCGGCAUGCCUAACACAUGCAAGUCGAACGAGACCUUCGGGUCUAGUGGCGCAAGGGUGCGUAACGCGUGGGAACCUGCCCUUAGGUUCGGAAUAACUCCCCGAAAGGGGUGCUAAUACCGGAUAAUGUCUUCGGACCAAAGAUUUAUCGCCUUUGGAUGGGCCCGCGUUGGAUUAGCUAGUUGGUAGGGUAAAAGCCUACCAAGGCGACGAUCCAUAGCUGCUCUGAGAGGAUGAUCAGCCACACUGGGACUGAGACACGGCCCAGACUCCUACGGGAGGCAGCAGUGGGGAAUAUUGGACAAUGGGCGAAAGCCUGAUCCAGCAAUGCCGCGUGAGUGAUGAAGGCCUUAGGGUUGUAAAGCUCUUUUACCCGGGAUGAUAAUGACAGUACCGGGAGAAUAAGCUCCGGCUAACUCCGUG